rnacentral:rRNA from 1 species
UGACCGCUGGCGGCGUGCCUAAUACAUGCAAGUCGAGCGAACAGACGAGGAGCUUGCUCCUCUGACGUUAGCGGCGGACGGGUGAGUAACACGUGGAUAACCUACCUAUAAGACUGGGAUAACUUCGGGAAACCGGAGCUAAUACCGGAUAAUAUAUUUAACCGCAUGGUUCAAUAGUGAAAGACGGUUUUGCUGUCACUUAUAGAUGGAUCUGCGCCGCAUUAGCUAGUUGGUAAGGUAACGGCUUACCAAGGCGACGAUGCGUAGCCGACCUGAGAGGGUGAUCGGCCACACUGGAACUGAGACACGGUCCAGACUCCUACGGGAGGCAGCAGUAGGGAAUCUUCCGCAAUGGGCGAAAGCCUGACGGAGCAACGCCGCGUGAGUGAUGAAGGUCUUCGGAUCGUAAAACUCUGUUAUUAGGGAAGAACAAAUGUGUAAGUAACUAUGCACGUCUUGACGGUACCUAAUCAGAAAGCCACGGCUAACUACGUG